UCUAGUUGGCAUUGCUUUAUUUUUCAUUUUUAUCUUUUUUCUCAAACAUGUUUGUUGAUUGUUUUUAGAUACCUGACUAUUUCCAGAUAUUCGCUAGGAUUUCUUUCAGUUAGAAUUUCUGUCAGUUUUUUUUUAUUAUGUAAUGCAGGGAAAGUGUUUCUGAUUUGAUCAAAUUGAGUGCAGUAGUAGAGAAUAUGAUCUAUGUCUUCGGUUAUUUUACAGUAGUCGCAACGAUCAUUUGGGUGGUAGUUAUUGAGUGCUGCUAUUUUUUCAAGUACAUUGUUUUUGCUAUUUCUUUUAAUGUGAUGUAUUCCGCUCUUAAUUUGAGUGGUAGUUCACCUGCUUCAAAGAGGACUACGUGGUUAGGCGUGGAUGGGAGUAAUCUCAUGGAAGUACGGAUUGCUAGGUGUUGUAUCGAUUCUAGUUUGGAGAAUAUAGUUUUUGGAGCUGCUGCGGUGAUUGAUAAUCCAUAAUCGAGGUGUGGACGGACUAUUGCAUUUGAGAUCUUUAACGCUUGUUCUGGAACAUUCCGGAAUGUCGUUUGGUAUCUCUGGCUUUGGCGUAGGACUCAGUAAUUUCCGAUUGGAAUCUGCUUCUUUUUGUCUUUUCAUUAUGCUACGUGAGUUAUAUUGAUUUGUCACCGGUUUAUUUAUUUUAAUACGCUUUUCGUCAAAAUUAUCUUCAUAUUUUGGAUCGUUUUCACUUUGGGUAAGCUUACGUUUUUCUUUUAAGAUGGCUUCUGUUCCUACCAAUUCAGGACCAUCGCCAUCUAAAUCCUCUUCAUCUACUAUCAUAUAUUUCAGUUUCCCCUGCACUACGUAAUAUAUUCCAACGAAUAAUAAUUAAUCUAGAAACUUGCCUUAAUAUCUAAUAAAAACCAAUGUU